UACGUAGGGGGCAAGCGUUGUCCGGAUUCACUGGGCGUAAAGCGCGUGUAGGCGGCCUCUCAAGUCGGGUGUGAAAGCCCGGGGCUCAACCCCGGGAUGCCGCUCGAAACUGGGAGGCUUGAGGACGGAAGAGGGGAGUGGAAUUCCUGGUGUAGCGGUGAAAUGCGUAGAGAUCAGGAGGAACACCCGUGGCGAAGGCGGCUCCCUGGUCCGUUACUGACGCUGAGACGCGAAAGCGCGGGGAGCGAACGGG
rnacentral:rRNA from 1 species